UAAAAUAAUAAUUAUAUAAAAUUAAUUUAAAUAUGCCAAAUCUAAAAUAAUUAUUUAAUUUUUUACAAUUAACUGAAAAGGAUAUUUUAAUUUAAUUAAAAAGAAAAAUUAAUAUACCUUUUGCAUAAGGGGUUUUCAAAAUAAAAUAAAAUUUUAUUUUUCUCGAAAUGUUUUGAUCUAAAAUCUAAAAUUUUUAAUAUUGUAAUAUUAAAAUAAAAUAAAUUUUAGAGGUGAAAUUCUAUUCAAAAAAUAUUAUAUCUAGUUUUAAAAAUUAAUUUUAUAUUGCUUUGUAAUAAAUUUUAUUAUAAAAAUUUACAAAGAAAAAAUUUUGGGAUAAACUAAAAUUUAUUAAAUUUAAUUUUUUAAUUAAAUAUUUUAAAGGAUUAACAUUUUCCUAGUUAUUUUUAUAAAUAAAUCUUUACAAAUUAAUAAUACAAUUUUAUUUUUAAUAAUAAUUUUAAUAUAAAAUUUAUAUAAAAAUGAAAAUAUUAGUAAAAGCUAAAUAAUUAAUUUAUUUAAAUAAAUCAAAUAAAAAUUAAUUUUAAUUUAAUUAAAAAGAAUUAGGCAAAAAUAUUUUCUGACUGUUUAUUAAAAACAACGCAUUUAGAAAAAAAAAUAAUAAAUGCAAAUCCUGCUCAAUGAAAAUUUUAAAUUGCUGUAGUAUUUUGACUAUACAAAGGUAUUGAAAUAAGAUUUUAAUUGAAUGCUAAGAGAAUGGAAUUCCAGAGAAUAACUUUUUUUUUAUUAAAAAUUAAACUUUUUUUAAUUUGUGCAGAAACAAUUAUAAAAAUUAAAGACAAGAAGACCCUAAGAAUUUAUAAAUUUGAUUAAUAUUUUUUUGUAUUAAUUAAAUUUUAACUGGGGCGGUUAAAAAACAUUAAAAACUUUUUUAAUUUAAUAUGACCCAUUAUUAAUGAUAAUAUGAAAAAUACUCUAGGGAUAACAGCGUUAUAUUUUUUGAUAGAUCAUAUUGACAAAAAAGUUUGCGACCUCGAUGUUGGAUUAGGAUACUAUUUUAAUGAAGAAGUUAAAAAAAGAAGUUUGUUCAACUUUUAAAUUCCUACAUGAUCUGAGUUUAGACCGAUGAGAAUCAGGUUGGAUUCUAUCUUAAUAAUUAUUAAAUUUUAAUUAGUACGAAAGGAAUAUUAUAAUCUAAUUAUUAGGAUAAACAACUUUAUUUGCAUCAUUUUUUGUAAUUA
rnacentral:rRNA from 1 species